rnacentral:rRNA from 1 species
UACGGAGGGGGCUAGCGUUGUUCGGAAUUACUGGGCGUAAAGCGCACGUAGGCGGAUCAGUCAGUCAGGGGUGAAAUCCCGGGGCUCAACCCCGGAACUGCCUUUGAUACUGCUGGUCUGGAGGUCGAGAGAGGUGGGUGGAAUUCCGAGUGUAGAGGUGAAAUUCGUAGAUAUUCGGAGGAACACCAGUGGCGAAGGCGGCCCACUGGCUCGAUACUGACGCUGAGGCGCGAAAGCUAGGGUAGCAAACGGG